rfam:Clostridium tetani E88, complete genome.
UAAAAUGCAAUGAAAGGAAGAGUAGUAAACCUAAGGUAUUUAAAAGAGAGUGAGGAAAGGUGAAAGCUCACAAUACUAAGAGUUUAUGAAUAUGGACCUGAAGCAUAGUAUUUGAAAUUAGAGUAAAGUACUACGGUAGCAACCGUUAAAUUGCAAAGUGAUUAUAUAGUCACUUAUGGAGGUCUUAUUUGUGAAAAUAAGAUAUAUUUAGAGUGGUAACGCGUUUUGAGCAAUACGCCUCUAUA